AGACGAACCAGACGCCGGAGGAGCCGGCCGCCGCCGCCCGCCGCCACACUGGGGAGUUUUCUGACCGCCGAUCGAGGUAAAUUUCAUAUCCCCGACUCGUUUUUCAAUGCUGAGUUCCCCUGUGGCCAAAUCGGAGCCAAAAUCCCGGCCAAAUGGUUGGAAAACAUGGCCGAAACCCAGCGGCGCCGCCGCGUCCCUCCUCGGUUUUUGCCUCCGAUGAGGCCCUUCCCGGCCUCCGUUUGAUACAAUUUUUAUAUCACCGUGAUCAC
rnacentral:lncRNA from 1 species